UUUGGAUUUCCAAAUAUGUGAAACUUUUCACUGCCUCCUGGAAGGACAAUGAGAAAAGUGGGUUGGGAAGGAAUGACUCAUUCUAUAGGAGGGAGGGAAAAGCUCCAGCCUCUCCCUAGGUUAAGUCCCUGCUAUUCCUCCUCCAAGCAGACCAUGUGGAACACAUGGGGUUGACUUAGAAGAUCUUGAAAGUGUCAUCCAGGGAUGACUUCUGGGACUUGGGCUCUAUCUCCCACCUUCCCUGCCUGAGAACCAUACUGAGAGGCCAUCAGGUGAUCUCCGCGAGGUCUUGGAUCAUGUCCAUAGCACAUUGACAUUGACCACAGCAUCUGGUAGUAUAGUAAGUGAAUUUUUUUUUUUUUUUUUUUUUUUUUUUUUUUUGAGACAGAGUUUCACUCUUGUUGUCCAGGCUGGAGUGCAGUGGUGCGAUCUCACUGCAGCCUCAACCUCCCGGGCCCAGGGGAUUCUUCCAUGUCAGCCUUUCAAGUAGCUGGGACCACAGGUGGGUGCCACCACGCCCGGCUAAUUUUUUUGUAUUUUUAGUACAGACAGGGUUUCACCAUAUUGGCCAGGCUGAUCUUGAACUCCUGGCCUCAAGUGAUCUGCCUGUCUUGGCCUCCCAAAGUGCUGAGGUUACAGGUAUGAGCCAUCGUGCCUGGUCCACAUGGCCUUCUUUUAACAAUGCCAGCCGCCAUCCCAUCUAGGAAGUGAAGAGCGUCUCUGCCUGGCCGCCCAUCGUCUGAGAUGUGGGGAGCGCCUCUGCCCCGCCGCCCCGUCUGGGAUGUGAGGAGCACCUCUGCCCGGCCGCGACCCCGUCUGGGAGGUGAGGAGCAUCUGCCCGGCCACCCCGUCUGAGAAGUGAGGAGCCUCUCCGCCCGGCAGCCACCCCGUCUGAGAAGUGAGGAGCCCCUCCGCCCGGCAGCCGCCCCCUCUGAGAAGUGAGGAGCCCCUCCCCCCGGCAGCCGCCCCGUCUGAGAAGUGAGGAGCCCCUCCGCCCGGCAGCCGCCCCGUCUGAGAAGUGAGAAGCCCCUCCGCCCGGCAGCCGCCCCGUCUGGGAAGUGAGGAGCGUCUCCGCCUGGCAGCCACCCCGUCCGGGAGGGAGGUGGGGGGGUCAGCCCCCCGC
rnacentral:lncRNA from 10 species